AUGGCUAAAUAUUGGUGGAGCAGUGACAUUGACAGGAGAUCUCUUCAUUGGCUUUCUUGGAAGAAUCUCUCUGUUUCGAAACCAGAAGGAGGCAUGGGUUUUCGCAGCUUUGAACUUUUUAAUCUAGCCCUACUCGAAAAGCACGGGUGGCGGCUAAUGACACACCCUGACUCCUUGUGUGCGCGAGUUCUGAAAGGCAAGUACUUCCAUAACUGCAGCUUCAUGGACGCUACUGCACCUCGCUCGGCGUCUGCUACGUGGAAAGCUAUUAUUGCUGGGCGAGUUGCGUUGGAACAAGGAUUGAUCAAGAGAGUUGGGGAUGGUGAAUCUAUCUCCAUCUGGACGGAUCGAUGGAUCCCA
rnacentral:rRNA from 1 species